UUUGGAGCACUGGUGCACAGCCCCGCAUGUUAUGUAACCAUGCUACGUGAGGCGCAUUAGGUGAUUACCCAUGUGAGCUCGUGCUUGGCUCAGAGCCGCUAUUGUCUGUAAAAUAUCUAACUACACUGCUAACGCUGUACAUACAGCUCACUCAUGCCCAGAAAGAGAGUAAAGCCAUGUCGAAACUCUAAAAUUCCUCGAGUGUUUUUCCAGCUACCUGCCACUCACCCACCAACUCCCCUCGGACUUCAAUUAGAACCUGAUAAUUGGCGUCACAAACAGGAUCCUGAGGUUAACAUGCUCCAACUGCAUCAUGAACUGGGCCCACACGUAGGCUGAGGUGACCAAUAUUUCCAACUGUUGGCUCUGCACCACUCUUCCAGCAGCAGUUGUGGACAGCUUGCCUUGGCACAUGCAUUCAGUGUCUGCAGAGAACUGGACAUGGCUGGAGACUUGGGGUCCCAUGGCUGACACCUGGAACGCAAUGCAGCAAGCUUUGGACAAAAGACACUGCAAGACCCAUGGCACACACACCCCUGGCUGGCCUGUAGUGUUUAUGAUGGGUGGGGCUGGCUAGUGGGGGAACAUGUAGUACCCCUAGCCCAGGCACCGCGGUGCAUACAGCAACACUGGGGUAACACCACUGCGGGAUGGGUACCUGUCAUGGCCUGUGUAAACAUAAUACAUGUCACUCCACUGAAGUUAUGGUGGGUAUUCCUGGGCUCUGGCCUAUGCUGGGCCCUAACAGUCAUAAGUAGCAUAACUGGGAUCCUAGUAGUGAGCUAUUGCUCUCUGUAUUGUUGUUUGAGCUAUGGAUUCAGGGCUCCGCCCUAUGGGCAUGUGUCCCUGCCCAGAGGAUGCCCUGAGCCUAGCUGGUGGAGUGUAAGGGAAGUGGCUGUGCUUUACUCAGAAGUAGGCCAAGGCGGCCUUCUAGCGCAGCAUGACUCAGUGGGUUUGGAGCGCAGGCGUACAACCCUGCACAUUAUGUAACCACACCGCAUGAGGCAUAUUAGGUGAUCACCCAUGUGAGCUUGUGCUUGGCUUGGAGGGACUAUUGUCUGUAAAACAUACAAUUACCCUGCUAACGCUGUAUAUAUGGCUCGCUUGUGCCCAGAGAGAGAGUAAAGCCAUGUCAAAACUGUCUACAAUUCCUCUAGUGUUUUUCCAGCUACCUACCACUCACCCACUGACUCCCCUCAGACCUCAGUUAGAACCUGACACCAGGGCACCCAUGUCCUUCUCUUUCCUCAAAUUCAUGGCAGACAUCACUAAUUGGUGCUCUUCCCAACUGAACUCAGACUUAGCCUUAAAAUUUUCAACAUAGUUGCCUGAACAACCUACCACUCAGAAAUGGCACUAGAAAUAAAACUUAUUAGCCAUCCCUGUGCUGGGGCAAUAGUUGUCAAACCAGGUUAUUAUCACAAUUGUCUGGGGGAGAACCUAAAAAUUAUAACUUCUCAGGACCAUUCCAGAAUGUACCAGAAAAGCUACCUUGAAAAUCUCCUAUAAAUCCCUGACACGUAGCGUACAGCACUGUAAUCUGUAGUUCCUCCUCCUUCCUGGGACUUGGACAAAGAGAAUGCAAGCAUACAGCAUGUAUUUUUCAGCUGCACUGGAAGGUGAGCUAGCUGAUUGAGCAAGUAAGGCAAUCUCUAUUUUCUUAUGCAUCAAAUGGUGUAAAUAUAGCAUUUACACCAUUCUGAACACCAAGAGUUCUGAUGUCAGAUUGUCUGGCUUAAAUAUCCCCUUCGUACCUUGGUAACCAUGUGAACUCAGACAAGUUACUGAACUGCUGUUUCUUCACCUGAAAAAGUAUCUGUUUUACAGAAUUGUUAUGAGAUUUAGACAAGAUAAUUCAUGUAAUCUGAAUAGAAGAGCACCUGACAUAAAGUCCUCUAAAAACACAAUAUCUAUCUAAUUUUAUCAUUUUUGUCUAUAAUAUUUAUCUCUCCGAAUUUGUAUGAGCAUUUAAUGAGAAUAUAUGUGAGUAUAUGAGAGGUAUCUGGGCACAUAGUAGGUGCUCAAAGAGUGGUAAGAUUGUUAUUAUUCAAUGUGUUUUAAACAACUUUUACUAAGGGAUACAUAUUUUCUAGUAUGGUAGACAGAGAACAAAAUAUUCCAUUUAAUUAUUAAUGUAUAUGCCAUCACAUAGAACACCCAGAAGAUUGGUGCUAAGGAGGUGGGGGUGGGGUUAGCCAGCUCCUCAUUCAGUUCUAUCGUCUCCCUUCAGACCACCCCUAAUAAACAUAAACUAAGUAAAACAGCUUCAAGACACAUCCCUAAGCCAUCCCUAAACCAUAUGUCAUCCCUUAAACCCCCUCUUCCAAGAUGAUUGCCAUCUCAAAGUCUCUCCAUCGUCCAAUUCCAUGUUUACCCUUGGGGGCAACUGAGAGCACUGUAAAAAG
rnacentral:lncRNA from 10 species